rnacentral:lncRNA from 1 species
UACAUAGAAGCAAAAUUAACAAAAAUCUCGUGAAAUAAGGUGUGUUCAGAACGGUGAAAUAUGGCUAUGGUUCAAAAAUCACGUAAAUCGGGUAACGGCUCUGAUGUAGAACAGUCGAAACCCGAUAUGUUUCAGAUUUGGCGUUCGGUGUCCGAUUGACUAUUGUGAGACCUUCCUGAAGCGUAACAGCCCUACGAGUCAAACUCAUGGCUUUUCCAUGAAAUAUGAGCCUUUUUGGCUAUCCGAGUCCGUUUAGAGCUUCAAAAUGCAGUUUUCUUAUUUCCAAUUAGAGUUAACCGUUUUCGAUCGAGCCUUUAACGUUGUCGAAUCCAGUUAAAUUUUUUACCAUAGACAUCUUUCGUCAUAAUGAUCAUAUCUAACGGUCGAAUUUUGGUUUGUAAAUUUUAGUCAUCGGAAUCACAACGUGUCUACUAAUGUUGUAUAACUUGUUUAAUAGGUUAUACAACAUAGGAAGCAAAAUUAUCAAAAAUCUUGUGAAAUAAGAUGUGUUCAGAAUGGUGAAAUACGGCUAUGGUUCAAAAAUCACAUAAACCGGGUAACGUCUCGGUGUCGAUAGUAGCGGUCAACCCUAUUUACCGUUAUUAUUCCCUAUGGGGAGCCCUAUCGUCGGAAAGUAUAUGUCUCAAAAUUUUUAUAUGGGCAGUUGCGUCUCAUCUACAUGAGAGUUUUUCAUGUGGAAGGUUUGACCAAACUAUGUAAUAUAGAGGGAGAUAUGAGCGUUUUCAUGUGAUAAGUGACGAUGGAUUAGGGUUGACCGUUUCGAUCGAGCCUUUAACGUUGUCGGAUCCUGUUGAAUUUUUUACCACAGACAUCUUUCAUCAUAAUGAUCAUAUCUGACUGUCGAAUUUUGGUUUGUGAAUUUUAGUCAUCAGAAUCACAACGUGUCUUCUAAUGUUAUAUAACUUGUUUAGUAGGUUGUACAACUUUGUGAACCAACUCUACAUAGGAAGCAAAAUUAUCAAAAAUCUCGUGAAAUAAGAUGUGUUCAGAAUGGUGAAAUACGGCUAUGGUUCAAAAAUCACGUAAAUCGGGUAACAUCUCGGUGCUGAUAGUAGCGGUCAACCCUAUUUACCGUUAUUAUUUCCUAUGAGGAGCCCUAUCGUCGGAAGGUAAAUGUCUCAAAAUUUUUAUAUAGGCGGUUGCGUCUCAUCUACGUAAAAGUUUUUCGUGUGGAAGGUUUGACCAAACUACGUAAUAUAGAGGGAGAUAUGAGCGUUUUCGUGAAUUUAUAGACUUUAGGCGACGAGAUAUUAAAAAAGUCGUCGGCUAAGGUCAAAUUUUUUGGCGGCAAACCAAAUUUGGGGGAAAAUUUUCAAAGGACUUAAACGGACGAAAAUAUAUGAUUUCGUCGGCUAUUGCCAAAAAAAUUUUGGCGGUCAACCAAAAUUUUCAAAAGAGUNNNN